rnacentral:rRNA from 1 species
AGAGAAGAUAUUUUUGUAUAUAUAAAUCUAUCUCCACAGAGGAGGAAAUGACGGUACCUGACUAAGAAGCACCGGCUAAAUACGUGCCAGCAGCCGCGGUAAUACGUAUGGUGCAAGCGUUAUCCGGAUUUACUGGGUGUAAAGGGAGCGCAGGCGGUUGUGCAAGUCUGAUGUGAAAGCCCGGGGCUCAACCCCGGUACUGCAUUGGAAACUAUGUAACUAGAGUGUCGGAGAGGUAAGUGGAAUUCCUAGUGUAGCGGUGAAAUGCGUAGAUAUUAGGAGGAACACCAGUGGCGAAGGCGGCUUACUGGACGAUCACUGACGUUGAGGCUCGAAAGCGUGGGGAGCAAACAGGAUUAGAUACCCUGGUAGUCCACGCCGUAAACGAUGAAUAAUAGGUGUCGGGGAGCAAAGCUCUUCGGUGCCGCCACCAAACGCAAUAAGUAGUCCCCCUGGGGAGUCGGUUGCCAGGAAGGAAAUUCAAAGAAAUGGCGGGGGACCCCCCCAACCGGGGGACCAGGUGGUUUAUUUGGAACCAACGGGAAGACCCUUACCAAUUCUGACCUUCCUUCUGCCCGGCAGUUAAUGGUCCUUCCCCUUCGGGCCAGAGGAGCCAGGUGGGCCAUGGUGUUGUUCACCUGGGUUGGGGAAAGGUGGGGUAAAUUCCCCCAAGGAGGCCACCCCCUUUCCUCAGUACCCACCAUUGAAGGUGGGCACUCUGGGGAGACUGCCAGGGAUAACCCGGAGGAAGGCGGGGAUGACGUCAAAUCAUCAUGCCCCUUAUGAUUUGGGCUACACACGUGCUACAAUGGCGUAAACAAAGGGAAGCAAAACUGUGAAACGGAGCAAAUCUCAAAAAUAACGUCCCAGUUCGGACUGUAGUCUGCAACCCGACUACACGAAGCUGGAAUCGCUAGUAAUCGCAGAUCAGAAUGCUGCGGUGAAUACGUUCCCGGGUCUUGCACUCACCGCCCGUCA